UACGUAGGGGGCAAGCGUUGUCCGGAUUUAUUGGGCGUAAAGAGCGUGUAGGCGGCCAGACAGGUCCGUUGUGAAAACUCGAGGCUCAACCUCGAGAUGUCGAUGGAAACCGUCUGGCUAGAGUCCGGAAGAGGAGUGUGGAAUUCCUGGUGUAGCGGUGAAAUGCGCAGAUAUCAGGAAGAACACCUAUGGCGAAGGCAGCGCUCUGGGACGGUACUGACGCUGAGACGCGAAAGCGUGGGGAGCGAACAGG
rnacentral:rRNA from 1 species